AUUCAGUUGACGAGUCCCGACUAGGACGAAACGCUCGUCCUGGAU
rfam:Schistosoma haematobium scaffold1560_2, whole genome shotgun sequence.